GUAUGACAAAGCUAAACCCGGAGCGAUCCGGCGGCAGAAAACUAUAGGGUCUCACGUAGAUAGCCAGUUACCUUA
rnacentral:ncRNA from 1 species